rnacentral:rRNA from 1 species
AGAGUUUGAUCAUGGCUCAGGACGAACGCUGGCGGCGUGCUUAAUACAUGCAAGUCGAGCGAGGUUACUGUUUUGGAUCCCUUCGGGGUGAAGAAGCUUUAACCUAGCGGCGGACGGGUGAGUAACGCGUGGGUAACCUACCCCAAAGUCCGGGAUAACAGCGGGAAACCGCUGCUAAUACCGGAUGCCUUUACCUUGGGGCAUCUUGAGGUAAAGAAAGGUAACGCUUUGGGAUGGGCCCGCGUCCCAUUAGCUUGUUGGUGAGGUAACGGCUCACCAAGGCGACGAUGGGUAGCCGACCUGAGAGGGUGAUCGGCCACACUGGGACUGAGACACGGCCCAGACUCCUACGGGAGGCAGCAGUGGGGAAUAUUGCGCAAUGGGGGGAACCCUGACGCAGCAACGCCGCGUGAGCGAAGAAGGCCUUCGGGUCGUAAAGCUCUGUCAUAGGGGAAGAGGAGAAGACGGUACCCUAUGAGGAAGCCCCGGCUAACUACGUGCCAGCAGCCGCGGUAAU